CGUGCUCAAGUUUUAAUCCCAAACAACCAAUUUUCAAUUUUCAAUUUUGUCUAUGAAGAGAAAGGGGAUAGGGUUUUGCAGAGUGAUGGCGGAACCUUCAAGAAACAUGGAGGUAGAGAAGUUGAUCUCCUACACUGAUGACCUCGUUAAGGUAUUGGUGGAAUCGCGUGACCUCAACAAACUCGUAAUGACCUUCGUGCAUUCUGAACGUCGUCUUCUCGAUAUCCUUUUCACCCAUGCAAAUCUGGUGGUAUCCCGCCUUCAAGUCUACUUUAGAGAAGUAGCAAGCCCCUCUCAGCUCAUCCAGCAAUUCCUCAAUUACAGGUAUGUGGAACUUAUCCGGCAUCGUGGCUCGAUUGAGUGUCCUGUAGUCGAUGCAGAACCGCCAGCUACCGUUCUUCUUCUUCACUAGAAUGACGGGGUUCGAAUAGGGGUUGUGGCUUGGUCGAAUCACCCCGUUCAGAGUAUCUCGGCGACCUGUUGUUCUAUCUCUCCCUUCAUCACGUGUGGGUACCGGUAGGGUCUAACGUUGACGGGAUCCACCCCCUCCUUGAUAGGCAUCUCCUUGAUAGGCAUAUGUUGACGUAAAUAAUUCUUGUAAACUUUUUCUUAACUUUAAAUAUCUAUAAUGUUAUUUAUGUGCAUAAAUUGGUCCAACUGGUCUUUGAAAGCGUUCAUUGCAUAAUUAUGUGAUGAGUAAAGACUAUCUCUUAUGUGGCUGAGAAAUGAACAAUUCUUUCUUGCAUUAACCCUUUUCUUAUAAUCUAAAUCCUUGUCCAGAAAACAUGUAGAACCCAAGAUGACCAACUAGUUUUUAAGUAAAUAGAUCGCAUGGCAAAUCGUAAGCUAUAUCAUAGUUGGAUGUUUCUCCUUAGAAGAUAAACAAUUUAAAUCAAGUACGUUGAUAUCUUCUUGGAUGUUUCUCCUUGAACAUAAUUUUGAAGUUGUAUUUGUUAUGGAUCAAUUUUAAACAACCUUUUCCAACUUUAUCUCUUUGACUCAUUAAAUAUUAUAAUAUUUGAGGAUGUUUUUUCAGAUAAAUAAUAUAAAAUUCAUUGCUAGUAAUUAUUUAAAUCUUUAAAAUGGAUUCUUUUAACUUUGUAAUUGGAUCACUAGUGUCAUGUUUUAGAAUGUUUAUCCUUUUUGGCAAUGGUAACUUUAUGAGUGACUUUUUAGAGUAUUUAUGAUAAUAAGUCAUCAUACAAAAAGAUCUUAAAUAAUAUAUUCUUUACAUCUUAUAUAUUUUUUAAAUUUUAUAAUAGCAUUAGAAAACUUAUUUAUAACUCACUUCACAAAAUUCUAUUUGUGGUCUCUAAAAACAUUUUUCUCUCAAACUCUUCUCUUUUUAUAGUGAUAAACAACCUUUAAUUAAUUUUGGCCCUUUGUUUUGUUUUCUUUUUUAAAAGGCAAAAGCUCAUUCUAUUAAUCUGUUGAAAAUUCAUUUAUAUAUUUUUCUAAUUUAUUGACAUAGAUAAGAGUUAUUGGAUAAUGUAAGGGAGAAAGGAUCCUUCUUAUAAAAUCAUUCAUUUCUAUUAACUUUCAAAAAAUCUAAAAUUUUCUUGUAGGAAGUUAUAUAUUUUUAAUUUUCAAGCAAUUUUUUAUUUCGUUUCCUUUUUAUAUUAACAGUUUUCAAAUCUAAAAAUUGGAAUUUCACCCAUAUUUACAUUAUUUUUUCAUUUUAAACCACCUUACUGUGCAAAAAUUCUUCCUCUUUUCUUUACUGUAUUGUUAUUAAAAGGAAUUAUCACACUAAGUUGACUCUAUUUUAAUAUAUUCUUUAACAUUACAUAAGGGUGACAAAAUGAAUUAGACUCACUGGCCAAUCCAUCAACUGGUCCAAAAUGGAAAAAGUUGGGUUGGGAAUUUCAACCUAUCAAUUUCUUUUAUUUAAUUCACUUAAUAUGUCAAUUUAAAGGGUUAAAAUAUGUGUUAACCCAACUCAACUCGUUUUUAUUUAUUUAAAGUACUAUACCUUUAAGCUCUACAUUAAUUUUAAUAAAUUUGUUUAUUUUUAUAUUUAAUUAUCUUUAUAAUAAAUUUAAGGAAAUUAAUGUUUAUAGUUGGUUUGAUACACCCAAUAAUUUUACAUUAAUUAGGAAUUGAAGUUAAUAGUAAUUUAAAUAGUUUUUCUUUCUUUUAUUCUAAUACAUCAAAUAAGGUGUUUAAUACUAACAAUGUCACUCAACUUAAAAUUAAAAUAAUAAUGAUAACUUAUAUUUAUUCCUAAAUUUAACACUAAACCUUAUUUGAGAAAAAAAAUGUUAAUGUGCUUUGUACUUCAAAUACUAUAAAAUAUUAUAAUUUGCAAACAGGUUAUAAAUUACUAGUAAAAUAUUUUUUUUUUAUGAUAAUAACGAAUAUAAUUAAAUUUUAUAAUUUUAUAUAAAUAAUUGUUUUUUGUACCGUAUAGUUGGAUGGCUGCAGAACAAAAGAGGAGCGGUCGACCUCACUUGUUUUAAUUUCUAAAUUUUGACAAGACAAAGACGAAAGUCAUCUGGCUAGGCAUGAGUAGAGAUCAAACGGGUGGUCCCAAUAGCAAAAUGUUUUUUAAGAGACGCUAAGAAUCGAAGUUAAGAGUAAGUAUCAAUUAGUACAAUGGACUGAGAUUGGGUCGUGAUUAAGGUUCCACUAAUCUUAGACUCAUCUCAAAAACUAUAAAUAAAAGUCAAAGGUAAAAGGUAAAUGAUCAUAUUUAUUAUGAAUUAAAGACUUUUCUCUGAUCCCUAGAUUAAUUGCAUCGGAGUACCUUUGGCAAGUAACCUGAUCGAUUUGGAGCAUACAAAUUUUGGUGCCUACCAUAGGACUCGAACCCACGACCACAAGGUUAAGAGCGCAGGUGCAUUUGUGGAGUUUAAGAAAAUUGUUAAAUUUAAAGGAAAAUAUCAAAUUAAAAAAAUGAUUAAAUUUUAAAAAUAUUAGUAAAAGUAGUAAAAUUGAUUUUAGAAAACAUGUUACUUAAAAAAUAAAAUGUGAAUACUAAAAAAGAAAAUUUCAAAUAAUAGUAUAGAUUUAUGACAGAUUAUUUUAAUUUUAUUUUUUAUUAUCAAAAUUUUAUUGUGAUGAUAAAAAAUAACUGUGAUACUUUAAUUUAAAAGGCGACUUCUCUAUUUUUCCAAAUAAGAUAAUUAUAUGCAUUAAAUGAAAUUUAUGAUGGCACAAAAUUAAUAAUUGAUUCCUCGGUUUAAUUGAUGUGACUUAUAACAAUUAGUUCCAAUAUUAUUUUCACUGCAUAACUUAUCAAGGCAUUUCAUUGUCAUAUAUUAUUUGGUCUUGUACUAAAUAUGAAUUAGGUGAACAAAAGCAAUGCAAAUGGCUUCUACUUCUUCCACAUUUGAAGACCCAUCACAGUUUUCUCCACAUGAACUAUAAUUUUUUUAUCACUUUCAUUUUCUUCACUUUUCAACAACCUCUCAUUCUUUGCUUCCAACUUCUCACGGCUAACACUUUCGUCAAAUCCACCAUUACUGCACCAUCUGAAGUAGUUGCGUCUAACAUUUUCACUUCUAACCUUAUACUUAGAGCAACCUUAGAAUUGUUUCCCUUGAUUCUUAAUGGUUUUUGUAACGUCCCGACAACUUACAGGAAUGCUGACUGCCACCCCAUAGAUCACCACGAGGCUUUCCAGUGCACCUCGUGUCUCUUGCACCGGCGACACUCCCCGCCCUCGUCAGUGCCCGGGUGUCACAUGUCCACCAGCUUCCACUAUGGUUUGUUCUUGAACCACACCGUACUGGGAGAGGCUAGGCUCUGAUACCAUCUGUAUCAUCUCGGUAACUUAUAGGGACUGCUAAUUGCCUCACACAUCAACAUGAGGCUUUCCAGUGUGCUUUGUCCUCACUCGCACACUUUCCGAGAAAACUUUCCAGAAGGUCACCCAUCCCAAAUUACUCCAGGCUAAGCACGCUUAAGCAUGGAGUUCUUAUGGGUUAGGCUACCGAAAAGCAAAUGCAUUUGUUGAUAUGAGUAUCCAAAUCAAUUCCUUUAAGCUAUCCUUCGUGUGCAGAGGGACUAGGUACGGGAUUUCUCGGUUGCACCAAAAUGAAUCUCGCUAUUAUAUGUUUUAUUAAUUUAUUCACUGUCUCAUGAGAUGAAGGUUUUUUUAUGAUGUCGAUUCACGCGAACUUGUGAUUGGUAUUAUCUAGUUAAAUUAUAUACUUUUUAUGAAUAUGUGAUUUGGUGAGUUAAUGUAUAUUAUUGAGAUCACGCUUGAUAUUGAGAAAGGUGUUAUAAAUUUUAUGAUUGGUGAGUAAUGCCUUUAUUAAAAAUGUGUAUUGAUUGGUGAUGUAGAGAUGGAACUAUACAUGUUAUUUCCUUGUACUGUGGACGAUCAUGUGUGUGGGAAUGUAGCAUAAAUGGUAUCAGAGCCUAGCCUCUCCCAGUAUGGUGUGGUUCGAGGACGAACCAAGCGGAAGCUGGUGGACAUGUGACACCCUGACACUGACGAGGGCGGGGAGUGAUUGUCGGUGCAAGAGGCACGAAGUGUGAGGGGCACUGACAAGGAGCGGCUCUUGGCAGGCUUCCAAUGGAAGGGACACAUGGACGAAUCGAAGAUACACCGGAAUGAGAGGGAUCUAAAGACUGUAUAGGUAUGAGACUAUACAGUUGAAGGAUAACUUAAAGGAAUUGAUUUGGCUACUCAUAUCAACAAAUGCAUUUGCUUUUUGGUAGCCUAACCCAUAAGAACUCCAUGGUUAAGCGUGCUUAGCUUGAAGUAAUUUGGGAUGGGUGACCUUCUGGGAAGUUUUCUCAGAAAGCGUGCGAGUGAGGACAAAGCACACUGGAAAGCCUCAUGUUGAUGUGUGGGGGUAGUCAACAGUCCUUGUAAGUUUCUAGGAUGUUACAGUUUUCACAGUCCUUAACACAUACUUCUCUCCACAAUGGCAAAUCAGUGAUGCAUCAUUCCUGUUCCACCCUCCAUCUCCGCGAGAAGACAAAACGAUAUUAUUUUCGACACUCAUUGCAAGUGGAAGAAGAACACGAAUAGCCUAUAAACAUUCUUGCAUCUUGUGUCUUCAACCUCCACGAUGAACCCACUGUUUGUCAAUUUUAAUCCAACAAGAACGAACCCUAAUUCCCUAAUUGUUCAUCUUUUGAUUUUACCGCCUUUGUAUAUGUCACGUUUUAAUUUCCAUUACCAAACCUUAAUUUUUAAAUAUUUCAUAUAUUCAAAUUCCACAUAAAACCCUAUGCUUAUGUCACAUAAUUAAAAUAUUUUAUGUCAAAUUAACAAUUUAUGAGAACGUUAAUCCGUCAAUCUAAUCUAACAACAAUGAGUCAAUUGUUUUUAUUUUAUACUUUUAAGAACUCAAUUAAAAAAAAACUUAAUUGAGAAAAGAUAAUGAUAUUUAGAUAACAUUUUUUUGACAAAAUCUAAACAUUGAUUGGUCUUAAAUUAUUCCAUUAUUUAUGAUUAUUAUUAUUAUUGAUCGUGGAGUAAUUUAGAACCAAUCACAAAAUGAUAAUAAUACGUAAUCAAUAUUCAGAUGUUGUCAAAAAAAAUGUUAUCUAAAUAUCAUUAUUCUUCUUAGAAAAGCCAGGUGAAUGAGUAACUAUGAAAGUAAUUAAACCUAAGCAUAAGUUUAUGAAAAGAAGCCGAUUAAGAAUUUAAAAUUCGUUUUCUGUUCUAAUAUAUUUCUUUAAUACAAAUUCUAAAUAUAAUUUUAUAUAUUUAAAAAUAUUUAAUUAUUAUUAUAAUAUACAAAAUAAUUAUCUAUAAAAUUACUAAUUUUUGAUUUCUCUCUCGUUCUCUUUUCAGCUUCAGCAACACUCACUGCGCUAAUACCUUCUCUCUCCUCUCUCUCUCUCUCUCUCUCUCUCUCUCUCUCUCCGUUCUCCGAUCAUAGUCUCCGCCUUCACCAUUUCUGGUAAUUUUUUAUUUGUAUUUGCUUAUCUUUCCUCUACAUCCUGCAAUUUUCAUCUUCCCGCAUUCUCUCUAAAAUGUAGUGAAAGUUUAUUUAUUUAUUUUUUUUAAAAUUUCUGAUUGUACGAUAUCACUGUUCCUGUGGUUUCUGAAUCGUAUUUCCUCAAGCUAAUAAUCGGGUGUUUAAAAGCUUCACCUUCUAAAACGUUGACAAAAGUUAGAGUAGAUUCUUAGCAUUCUGCAAAAUCUGUGGGCUUCGAAAUAAAAUUACGAUUCGGUAGAUGAAAUCAUAUUUGCACCUUUUUAUGGGUCUCGGCUAAGAGUUGGAUACUUGAUUUGUCGAAUAUGGAUGAUAAUUUAUUCAUUAGGAAAUCCUCAAUUUUGUUCCACCAAGAAGGCAAAAACCCUAUUCCAGUUCCUGAGAUUCCACUAGUUUGAGUCACGUUGGUCUUUCUCAGGAACUAAUUUGUUCAGUGUAUGAGGGUUAAUAUGGUUAGACAUAUGUGGUUGCUCCUUACACUUCUGUGAACUUCUUACAUUUUCUAGGACUAAUAUUUCUGCCCCAAAUUUUUUAGGGCAAUUUUAGAGAUUGGAUCCGUUUGUUAUAAAGUUUGAUGGAAUUCAUGUUACGAUCCGGUUUAUAAGUAUGAGACUUGAGUUUAUUGUGUGAUUGAUUUUGUGGAAGGAAGAUUUGUGUUUGCUGUCCCUUUAUCUACUGUCUGGGCUGUAAAAUCCUUAAAGUGAUUUUUGGAUUGCUGACAUUUUCUGAGUUUCUAUGUUAGUAGUCAUGCAUUAAUUCCACAUGUCCUCUGAGGUUUAUUCUCUCAUUUUUCUUAGCAUGUGUUUGUUUAAUUAAUGUGAUUUUUAAAAUGUAAUUUGCUCACUUUUUAAAUAGAAGAGUUAAAGCCCCAACCUUUGAUUGAUGCUUCAGAAUGUCACAGUUGUUUGUUUGGAGCUAUUGAUACGAGAGAUUAUCUUUUCUGUGAAUUUAUGGUCGUCUUUCAAUCUGUCUUCCGGUAGUGGGGAUAUUUAUAUGGUCUAUUACUUGAAAUUUGAGAAUCUGGUUUUAGUAAAAUGACAUGAUCUUGCUUCCUAUGAGGAGAUAGAUGUUUACUUCUAGCUUGAAAAACAUUUGAAUAUUCAUAAAUGACCAUCUGUAUCCGCUCUUAAAUCUUGGUUUUCUUUGUCGUUUUAUCUAAUAUUUGCUGUACAUAGUUUUCAUAGAUAUAGAAUGCAAGUGUAAAGUUUUAUAGCCAACGAGUAAAUCAGAUUUUUUAUUGAAUUCCCUCAGUGUUGUUUUAGGAAGAAAUUGACAUAAAAUAAGAAGCAAGACUUAGAAGAAGCUUAACAGAGAUGAGAAAAAACCAAAAUACAUGGGCAUAAGUUUUAAUGUACAGAUAUGCAUUGAAGUUGUAGCAGUAGAUGGUAUUGGUUGUGCACUUUUAUUAUAUGCAUGGAAGAAAGUUGUAUAAAAUAGCAACAUAGAAAUAAGGUAAUUUCGCUUGUAGCAAUUUUCAGUGUAACUCAAAGUCUGGAGACAAAAUUAGCAAGUAAUGGCCAAUUCUUUUUACUUCAGCAAAGGUUGACUUACUCUCUAAUUUCUCGUGUAACUUCCUUAAAUUUGUAUUCCAACACAGUGAUGUCUUUGUGCAUCGUGCUCAAGUUUUAAUCCCAAACAACCAAUUUUCAAUUUUCAAUUUUGUCUNUGAAGAGAAAGGGGAUAGGGUUUUGCAGAGUGAUGGCGGAACCUUCAAGAAACAUGGAGGUGGAAAAGCUGAUCUCCUACACCGAUGACCUCGUUAAGGUAUUGGUGGAACCGCGUGACCUCAACAACCUCUCAUAUUGUCACCAACAAAACCUCUCUCUCUCUUCCUCUUCCCAUUCCCACCACCAAGACGUUCGCUCCUCCCUCCA
rnacentral:lncRNA from 1 species